rnacentral:tRNA from 1 species
GCCAGCUUAAGUGUUAAGCCGGGCGCUCUAAAUUUAGAUUUAUCUUUAACCAUGGUAGAGCACUUCCAUGGUAAGGAAGGGGUCUCGAGUUCAAAUCUCGAAGGCGGCUCCA